GCCGGGAUAGCCUAGUGGAGAUAGGCAGUGGGCUGCAGACCCGCUUACGUGGGUUCAAUUCCCACUCCCGGCU
rnacentral:tRNA from 1 species